AUGGGGCAAAUGAUGAAUCUUAUUAUAUCGUAAAUGGGUAAUUUGCGUCUGAAUUUUUCAUUGAUGCUAUAUCACCUUGGAGAACUGAUGCCCUUA
rnacentral:snoRNA from 1 species